rnacentral:rRNA from 1 species
UACGUAGGCAGCGAGCGUUGUUCGGAGUUACUGGGCGUAAAGGGUGUGUAGGCGGUUGUUUAAGUUUGGUGUGAAAUCUCCCGGCUCAACUGGGAGGGUGCGCCGAAUACUGAAUGACUUCGAGUGCGGGAGAGGAGAGUGGAAUUCCUGGUGUAGCGGUGAAAUGCGUAGAUAUCAGGAGGAACACCGGUGGUGUAGACGGCUCUCUGGACCGUAACUGACGCUGAGGUGCGAAAAGCGUGGGGGAGCAAACAGG